rnacentral:lncRNA from 1 species
UUAACUAAUCACAUUCAUCGUCUGUCCUAUGAAUAUUUCAUCCUGCUCCGUCGCUCAAUAAUUCUUAUAUCACGGUUUUGACACGAGAGCAGGCAUUUUUAGCGACAUAACAAUUUUUCGAAGACGUAAUCAGCGACGUCACAAUAUUUGAAGAAAAGUUAUCAAGCUUGCUUUCAUCAAGCGUAGAACUGUCUGAGGGAGGGGGAAAAUAGAAAUAGAACAGAAAACCGAUAAUCAGGUUUCUUCGUAAAGGUAUCGUAAAGUAUCAGCCGCUCGACACAAUGUUAAUCUUUUUAGCUGCGCUCACUCGCCAAAGGUUCCUAUUGUGGCUCGUUGCUGCUAUUUUACGAUAUCAAUAUGUAGAAAACUCGAUAAUCUAUACUUCUGUGCGUCUUUUGCAUUGAAUAUAUAAG